rnacentral:rRNA from 1 species
CCUACGGGAGACAGCAGUAGGGAAUAUUGCUCAAUGGGGGAAACCCUGAAGCAGCAACGCCGCGUGGAGGAUGAAGGUUUUCGGAUUGUAAACUCCUUUUGAUAGAGAAGAUAAUGACGGUAUCUAAAGAAUAAGCACCGGCUAACUCCGUGCCAGCAGCCGCGGUAAUACGUAGGUGGCAAGCGUUAUCCGGAUUUACUGGGUGUAAUGGGCGUGUAGGCGGGAAAGCAAGUCAGAGGUGAAAACCAGGGGCUCAACCCCGUACUGCCGUUGAAACUGCAUCCCUUGAGUGCGCGAGAAGUAUGCGGAAUGCGUGGUGUAGCGGUGAAAUGCAUAGAUAUCACGCAGAACUCCGAUUGCGAAGGCAGCAUACCGGCGCGCAACUGACGCUCAUGCACGAAAGCGUGGGUAUCGAACAGGAUUAGAUACCCUGGUAGUC